CAAGCGUGGAUGAUGUGGAUUAAUUCGAUGCAACGCGAAGAACCUUACUACCCUUGACAUGUCCGGAACUUGCCAGAGAUGGCUUGGUGCCCGAAAGGGAAUCGGAACACAGGUGCUGCAUGGCUGUCGUCAGCUCGUGUCGUGAGAUGUUGGGUUAAGUCCCGCAACGAGCGCAACCCUUAUCAUUAGUUGCUACGCAAGGGCACUCUAAUGAGACUGCCGGUGACAAACCGGAGGAAGUGGGGAUGACGUCAAGUCCUCAUGGCCCUUAUGGGUAGGGCUUCACACGUCAUACAAUGGUCGGUACAGAGGGUUGCCAAGCCGCGAGGCGGAGCCAAUCCCACAAAGCCGAUCGUAGUCCGGAUUGUUCUCUGCAACUCGAGAGCAUGAAGUCGGAAUCGCUAGUAAUCGCAGGUCAGCAUACUGCGGUGAAUACGUUCCCGGGUCUU
rnacentral:rRNA from 1 species